rnacentral:lncRNA from 10 species
UUUUUUUUUAAGAGACAGUCUUGCUCUAUUGGCCAAGCUGGAGUGCAGUGGCAUCAUCAUAGCUCACUGGAGCCUAGAACUCCUGGUCUCAAGCAAUCCUCCUGCUUCAGCUUCCCAAAGUGCUGAGAUUACAAGUGUGGGCCACUGCGUCCAGCAAGAAAAUUUAUUUUAAAAGCAAAAUUGUGUAUAAAGCAUGUGAUACCACCAAAGAAAAAAACAGCACUAAAACACCAAAGUUUUGUAAUUUUUAAAAUAUAAAGAUAAAAAGAAUAUAAAAUUAGCAUGGAAUAUCAACACUCCAGAGGAAAAGAUUUUAUCAGUGUAAAAACAGUUUAUUAUACUUGAUCUAGUCAGGCAACAUUUCCAAAUAUGUUUCUUAGGGAAACUGUCCAAAGUUCUUGUAACAUAGCUAGUUAUGUUUUGUAUCACUUGCUCUCCCCCAUCCCAUUCUCCUCCUGUCACAGCUAACUGGAUUUAGGGUAGAUACUUGAUCUCAAAGAAGGUUAGUUUAGUGAUAUGACCUAGCAGAUAAAAAGCAAAACAAAAACAGGCCAAUCAGAUUUGAUCAUUGGGAAUUUAGAUGGAAAAUAAGGAACAAAUUUGCAAACUGGAAGAAGAGAGAAGAUGGUGUGUUAAAAUGAUAGUCUAAUAAAUUAUUUCUUUCUUUCUUUUUUAUUUUUUUUCUGAGAUGGAGUCUUGCUCUGUCGCCAAGGCUGGAGUGCAGUGGCAUGAUCUCAGCUCACUGCAGCCUCUGCCUCCCAGAUUCAAGCGAUUCUCUGUCUCAGUCUCCUGAGUAGCUGGGAUUACAGGCACACACCAUGCCCAGCUGAUUUUUGUAUUUCUAACAGAGAUGGGGUUUCACCAUGUUGGCCAGGCUGGUCUCGAACUCCUGACUUUGUAAUCUGCCCACCUCGGCCUCCCAAAGUGCUGGGAUUACAGGCGUGAGCCACCGCACCUGGACAAAUUACCUUAUUUCUAAGACGGACAUUGUUGGCCG